rnacentral:rRNA from 1 species
CACUUAGGGUGCGAGCGUUGUCCGGAAUUAUUGGGCGUAAAGAGCUCGUAGGCGGUGUGUCGCGUCGGCCGUGAAAACCUGCAGCUUAACUGUGGGCGUGCGGUCGAUACGGGCAUCACUGGAGUUCGGCAGGGGAGACUGGAAUUCCUGGUGUAGCGGUGAAAUGCGCAGAUAUCAGGAGGAACACCGGUGGCGAAGGCGGGUCUCUGGGCCGAUACUGACGCUGAGGAGCGAAAGCGUGGGGAGCGAACAGG